AAGCACCCCCUCCUUCUGUCUCCCAAAUGCAAGGGUCUCUGAGGAAGGUUCUGUUUUAGGAUCAUAUUUACGAAAGCUUAAAUAUCAUGACGUCUGCUUUUACCUGGUUACCUAGCAAUGGCAAUUCUACUCAUUCUCCUCACAGAAGGAACAGUGUUUCAGCUUCCUUAGUUAAGUGUGUUAUUAAAUAAACAUGAUCUCCCCUUCACCAUUUAUGUUGGUGAGAAAUAAAGGAUACAUUUUGUAAGGGAAA